CAAAGUGACAGUUGGUUUUGACAGUUAGACCCCGGAGGUUUUGGGCACAGCAGCUAACUGCACUGCUUAGUUCUCCGUCAGAUCCUAGUCAGAGAAAAAACAGCUGCAACAGACUUGAACAAUUGGGUAAAGGGGAGCACACGUGACUUAUGGCAAAAAAGUUAAUAAAAAGAAGAAAAAGAGUAACAUCUCUUACCAGCAGGGUUCACCUAUGGAACAAUUGGAGAAGCUAGCUGUUCAAAAUUACCCGAAUAGUUUGCAAACCACCUGGGGAUCCCCCUCCUUCGUUGCUUUCUGAUCAGAGCCUAAAACAUGUCGCCAAUUUUUUUGUGUACAAUGGGAAUGGCCAGCAGGUGGUGUGAUGGUAAAGGUGCUGUAUCUGACUCUGCAGUUUUAGUCACAGACCAUGUGGCGUAAAAAACAAGCUGGUCAUGUCUGUGUAUGAGUACAAAAUCCUGAGAGGAUAAUGGAGAAGAGAUUAUGACAUGGCCAUCUCCCCUGGUGGGAA